GAAAAAGUUUCGCUGAACUUUUAAAAAAUAUUUCAUUCCCAUCUUAUACAGAAGGAACCAGAAAAUGGAACUAAAAGGGAAAGAACUUCAUUUCAUCUAAUAAAGCAAGUAUGAUCUUAAUAAUGAAACCAGAGAUGUUUACCUUCUAUUGCUGUAACAAAUUUCUACAAACUUAGUUGCUUAAAGGAACACAUAUUUCUUAUAUAUAAUUCUAGAACUUAGAAGUCUGGCACUGAUCUCACCACACAGAGCUACUUUUCUUUCUGAGUUUUAAAGGCUGCCCUCAUUGUUUGGCUCAUGGGCUUCUUUGUCCAGGCAGCCCCCAUGGUGAGCUCUGUCUACACACUGCAUAUCUCUCUUUCUCCAGAGCAGGGACAUAUUUUCAACAGGAUGUAAUUAGAUUGGGCACACCUGGAUAAUCCAGGUGACUCUUCCAAUCUCAAGAUUCUUAAUAUUGUCAUCACGUUGGCCAAGGCACUUUUUUCAGAGAAUAGAAUGUGGACAUCUUUGUGGAACCAAUAUUCUGCCUAUUAACACUUGGGAAACAAAAAUAUGAAAAGAAAAUUAAAGGACAUGAAUAUAUGUAUGCAAGCAUUAUAAACAAUUUUUUGACAAAAGAAUAAGUUGGGAAUCAGAGUCCACAAUCAGUUUAUAAUCAAGAAAUUCAACAUUGUUAAAUAUCUCCAAAAAAUCUAGAAUUAGUAUAUUCAGAGAAAAGGAGAGAGGUCACAUAAUCAUCUCCAAAGGGACAGAAAACAGUAUCUAAAAUUCAACAGUUAUUGACAAUAUUAAAAUUAUUCUUAAUAAAUUGAAAAUAAAACUCCCAUAAUCUGAUAAUAGGAAUCAACAGAAAACUUAUAGCAAAUAUCAGCCUUUACAGCAAAAUAUUAAAAGUGCUUCCUCUGAAGUUAGAAAUGAGAAGACCCCUCCCAUUCAACAUAGAAGCCUAAGACAAUCAAGUUAGACAAAAAGAGAGUAGUUCUAAGGUUUGGAAUAAAACCUAAAAUCUUUAUAAUUCAUGGGUAAAAAUAUUCCAAAGAAUCUACAGAAUUAAAAAUAUAAUAUAUACAGAUGCUUAGGGGAAGUUAAUAUAUAGAAAGCUGUACUCUUGCAACAAAGAGUUGGAAAUGUAAUUUUAAAGUAGAUGUCUUUUUACCUUAUCAAAAAAGUACAGGCUACAUAAAAAUAUACUUUCUCCAGGAAGGCCCAUAUUUAAAAUUUUUGUAAAGAAAACCUUUAAAUAUUAUUGAGACAUUCAAGACAACCUAAAUAAAUUUAAAUCUUUGCUACUUUCAAGGAAGACUUGCUAUUAUAAGGAAAUCAAUAUUCUCAAAUUGCCUAAAUGCAAUUUCAAUUUAAAUUGAACAGGAUUUUAUAUUUUAGAAACCUAAGAAUCUGAUUUGGAAAUGUAUGAGGAAAAGGAAAAGUCCAAGUUAAGGAAUACUUGAAGAAAAAUAAUGUAAAGGGAUUUCUCCAUUAGGCAUCAAAACUUUCUACAAAGCUGCAGCAUUGACAGUGGUGUAAGUUCACAAACAAAAACAAUACAGAUAGUAGAAAAAACUAUAAAUCCACGCAUACAUAAAAUGGUAUAUAAUUGUGGAAGCACAUAAGUGGUAAAAUUAGGUCUUUUCAAUAAUUAAUGCUUGUACAAUGCCAUGUUCAUUUAAUGAUGGGUCAUUCAUUCCAGAAAACAUGGAAUAGAUCUAUCUUACACAAUUCCUACCAAUCACUUAGAUUGCUUAAACAUUUAAAUUCAAAAGUAAGAUUAUUAAAUUUUAGGAAAAAAAUGAGAAUUUAGAAUCUUGGAGCUAAUAUUGAUAAUAAGUAGAGUGGUUUCCUUUGGGGACAGGAAAGUGAGAUAGAGAAACAUGUAAGUGUAAUAGGUAAAAAUUCCAAAGUUGUUGACAAUAUUCAAGUUCAUAAACCUGGAAAUGGGUUCAUUCUUUUCUUCUUACAUUACCACAGUUGAAAUGAACAUUCUUGAACCCUUGUGUUUUAACCUUGAUUAUCCCUUAAUGUUUCUAGAAAUGGAAUUGCUGACUCAAAGUACACAGAUUUAGGAGGUCAAAUUGAUCUUCAAUGUAGGCUGCCCCCGAAAGCAUGAGUUGCUAUUUUCUCUUUCCUACAUACUGUGGUAUUAAAUACCACAAUGUAGAUGCUAAUAGGAAUAAGAAUCAAGUCAAGGGAAACUCAGUGAAUCAUUUCCUCAUUUUUCCUUGUCUUUUGUCCCCCAUUUAUAACCAUAAAUGUAAAAACUACACACUACUAACUAUUAGGAGAGAUAUUAUAGGGAAAAGAGAGAAUUCUAUGAAGGGAAAAUUUAAAACAAUGGUCCUCUACAGAUUUCAGAGAGUAUUGUAUCCAUACAAUAAUCAUAUGCCACCAUGAGAAAAGAAUAAUCAAGUACUGAAAGUGUUUUUAUAGCUUAAAAUUGUGCUCUAGAAACAAAUUAUUUUAAAAUCAUGAUUGAUUGUGCAAAAAAAAAUAUUUAUAAAGAAGUUGAAAAUCAUGAUGAGAUAGGCCUAGUGGAAAAUCUAGAAGGUGAUUUAGAAAAUAAAGUCACAUCUAGAAUAAUCUCCCAGAAUGAGAAGCAAAACACCAAUAAGAUGAAAAUCAGAUGAUGUGUGUAAAAAUGUUUCACUAUUAAAAUAUAUAUGUUAUUAUACUAAACCAUAUACUAUAUAGUUUUAUAUAUUUGUAAGACUGUAUAGUAAAAUGUAACAGAAUGAGAGAAUUCUAAACAUUUGAAGAGAAAAUUGAGACAAAUACAUUUACUUUGUGUAAAAAUAUAUGAGCAUAUCCAUGCAUAUGUUUCUAAUUUGAAUAGUUACUAUGUAACAUCAUUAAAUCUCAUUCUCUUUCAUGAGACAUAUUUUAUUAUGGAAUUAUUUCUCAUCCUUGUGGAAAUCACAUAGGUUAUUAAGAAUUACAAGAUGGAAUUUCAUACAGGCUGAAAUGUGGUAAGCAUGGAGUUUUGUGCAUGCUCUGAAAUUUCUAGGAUCAUAGAAAAGAGGUGUUUGGGGGGGGCAGAUAAUGGUCAUUUGGGAAACUGGUUCAGUUUUUCCAACUUCUUUGAGACUUGUUUUGAGUUUAGAUUUACAGAAAAGAUUCUGCAUAGUUUUCAAUUCAUCUCAAACCAAUUUGCCUUUUUAGUGGCUUUGAAACUAAAUAGUACAGAGAAUUUCAUUUGCAUGUCAAUUUGUGCAGACAUUUGGGGUUUUGUUAUGUAAUUUGGGUUGUCUGCACAUGGACUUUCUCUUAAAGAAGCAUGCUUCAUAUAAGAUAUAAAUGCUCAACCUGACGGCCCCAAACUCCUAAAAUAGGACCCACAUGCCACUGAAAUUUAAUGGUAAUGCCAAGAAGUCCACCAAUACUUAGGUUUUAAAAACCACGGAGACAUACUAUGUAAGGUCAGGCAACAGUCGCAACCGAAAGGGGGCAGAUGUUAAAAGGCCAUUGAACAAGGCUUUAUUGAGAUGUCACUCCCAGAACUCUAUCAGACCUGCAGAGCAGACAGGAAGAGGGUCUGAGGAGAAACCACACAGGGGCUCAAUGGGAUUGGAAUUUUAUGGUGCUUACAGCAGGAAGGGAAGGGCUUGGGACAGGAAAAGGGAUUUUUAGAGUCCCUUGUCCCAAUGGAGUUGGUUGGGGGAACAGGCUGAGAUCCAGGAUUGGCCAGAAGAACCUGCUGAUUGACAGGUGGUUCUGUUGGUGACUGAUUGAUGUUUCUUUCCAUGCAUGGGCUGCUUGGUGCUUUGUUCCUAAGUCACCACCAUCGACCUGACAUACUAUUCAGUGAAAAGCACUUUUGGCCUAGUCUCACUCUUAGUAACCAGAAGGAGAUGAAAACUGCUACACAGUGUUCUUAUACUUUGCACAGGCAUAUGGUAGUGAUUAAGAAUGUGGACUCUGGACUUGGGCUGCCUGGGUUGAAUCUUGGCUCUGCCACUUCCUUUGUGGCCUUCAGCAAAUUUAUUAACCUCUCUGUGCCUCUGGAAGAUGGAGAUCAAAAAGGUUUUAUAUGGAGCAGCAAACUUUCUCAAGGUGUAUGAUUGUAAACAAAAGAAUUUUAAGUGUUAUGUCUUCAAUGCUACUGUGAUUCAAAGAAGAGCACUUCUUGGAACUCCAUCCUUGAUGCUCACCAACUAGAAUACUAUAGAACUUAACAAUGAGUGUGGAUGAAGACCAGCUGAUGUUUUCACAUGAGGAACAACCCAAACUUUGUAAAGCGUGAAGGAAGCUCUAGACUUAUUUGAUAUUAAUAACUGUUUUUGUUUGUUUUGUGGGUGAGUAGAUGAGUUGGGCUUUUUUUUUCCACAUUAGGCACAUUUUCCAUGGGUGAGUUCUUAAAAAGAAGAACAAUACUGUCCAAGUUGUGGUUCUUGAGGUAAUUUUAGGGUUUCCUUGGAUGACAAAGUAAAAGUGGCAUGUGGAGCCAUAUAUAUUGAAGAUGCACAAGCAAAAUAUAUAGUGUGUCAGAUGCUAUUAACUGUUAUGCAGAAAAAUAGCAGGAAAGGGAAUAUGGGGUGCCAAGGUGCAAUGGGAAAACAACAGA